GAUUGUCCCAGCAGCCGCGGUAAUACGAAGGGUGCAAGCGUUAAUCGGAAUUACUGGGCGUAAAGCGCGCGUAGGCGGUUUGGUUAGUUGGAUGUGAAAGCCCCGGGCUCAACCUGGGAAUGGCGCUUGUGACUGCACAGCUCGAGUGCGGCAGAGGGGGAUGGAAUUCCGCGUGUAGCAGUGAAAUGCGUACAUAUGCGGAGGAACACCAAUGGCGAAGGCAAUCCCCUGGGCCUGCACUGACGCUCAUGCACGAAAGCGUGGGGAGCAAACAGGAUUAGAUACCCUGGUAGUCCACGCCCUAAAC
rnacentral:rRNA from 1 species